rnacentral:rRNA from 1 species
GACGAACGCUGGCGGCGUGCUUAACACAUGCAAGUCGAGCGGUGAACCGGGCUUCGGCCCGGGGAUCAGCGGCGAACGGGUGCGUAGCACGUGGGCAACCUGCCCCUCACUCUGGGAUAACCCCGGGAAACCGGAGCUAAUACCGGAUACUUUCUCGGAGCCACAUGGCCCUGCGAGGAAAGGUCCGCCGGUGAGGGAUGGGCCCGCGGCCUAUCAGCUUGUUGGUGGGGUCACGGCCCACCAAGGGGACGACGGGUAGCUGGUGUGAGAGGACGACCAGCCACACUGGGACUGAGAUACGGCCCAGACGCCUACGGGAGGCAGCAGUGGGGAAUCUUGCGCAAUGGGCGAAAGCCUGACGCAGCGACGCCGCGUGGGGGAUGAAGGCCCUCGGGUCAUAAACCCCUUUCGGCAGGGACGAAGCGAACGUGACGGUACCUGCAGAAGAAGCCCCGGCUAACUACGUGCCAGCAGCCGCGGUAAAAC